rnacentral:rRNA from 1 species
UAGGGAAUCUUCCGCAAUGGGCGAAAGCCUGACGGAGCAACGCCGCGUGAGUGAUGAAGGUCUUCGGAUCGUAAAACUCUGUUAUUAGGGAAGAACAUAUGUGUAAGUAACUGUGCACAUCUUGACGGUACCUAAUCAGAAAGCCACGGCUAACUACGUGCCAGCAGCCGCGGUAAUACGUAGGUGGCAAGCGUUAUCCGGAAUUAUUGGGCGUAAAGCGCGCGUAGGCGGUUUUUUAAGUCUGAUGUGAAAGCCCACGGCUCAACCGUGGAGGGUCAUUGGAAACUGGAAAACUUGAGUGCAGAAGAGGAAAGUGGAAUUCCAUGUGUAGCGGUGAAAUGCGCAGAGAUAUGGAGGAACACCAGUGGCGAAGGCGACUUUCUGGUCUGUAACUGACGCUGAUGUGCGAAAGCGUGGGGAUCAAACAGGAUUAGAUACCCUGGUAGCCCACGCCGUAAACGAUGAGUGCUAAGUGUUAGGGGGUUUCCGCCCCUUAGUGCUGCAGCUAACGCAUUAAGCACUCCGCCUGGGGAGUACGACCGCAAGGUUG